AAUGAACGUUGGCGGCGUGGAUUAGGCAUGCAAGUCGCGCGAGAAGUCAUUUAGCUUGCUAAAAGGCGGACAGCGGCGGAAGGGAGAGUAACGCGUGGUUAUGUACCCUCGAGACCGGGAUAGUGUCGGGAAACUGGCAGUAAUACCGGAUAACAUCUUCGGAUCAAAUGGUGUGAUUCCGCUCGAGGAUCGGACCGCGUACUAUUAGCUAGUUGGCGGGGUAAUGGCCCACCAAGGCUUAGAUGGUUACCGGGUGUGAGAGCAUGGCCCGGCUCACUGGGACUGAGACACUGCCCAGACAUCUACGGAUGGCUGCAGUCGAGAAUCUUCGGCAAUGGACGAAAGUCUGACCGAGCGACGCCGCGUGCGGGAUGAAGGCCCUCGGGUUGUAAACCGCUGUCAGUUAGGAGGAAAUCCAUGAGGGUACUCUCUCAUGGUUGACCGAUUUUCAGAGGAAGGACGGGCUAAGUUCGUGCCAGCAGCCGCCGUAAUAC
rnacentral:rRNA from 1 species